rnacentral:tRNA from 1 species
GCGGGAAUAGCUCAGUUGCUAGAGCGCAACCUUAAGGUUGAGGUCGCGAGUUCGAACCUCGUUUCCCACUCCA